rnacentral:tRNA from 2 species
CGGGGUGUGGUUCAGUGGUAGAAUGGGCGCAUGGGGUGCGUCCGAUCCCAGUUCGAUUCUGGGCACCCCGA